AGAGUUUGAUCCUGGCUCAGGAUGAACGCUAGCGGCAGGCCUAACACAUGCAAGUCGAGGGGUAGAGGGAGCUUGCUUCCUUGAGACCGGCGCACGGGUGCGUAACGCGUAUGCAAUCUGCCCCCUACAGGGGAAUAGCCCAGGGAGACUUGGAUUAAUGCCCCAUAGCCCAUAUUGAGAGCAUUCGAUAUAUGGUAAAGAUUUAUCGGUAGGGGAUGAGCAUGCGUACCAUUAGCUAGUUGGUGUGGUAACGGCACACCAAGGCAACGAUGGUUAGGGGCCCUGAGAGGGGGAUCCCCCACACUGGUACUGAGACACGGACCAGACUCCUACGGGAGGCAGCAGUGAGGAAUAUUGGACAAUGGGCGGGAGCCUGAUCCAGCCAUGCCGCGUGCAGGAAGACUGCCCUAUGGGUUGUAAACUGCUUUUUUACGGGAAGAAACACCACUACGCGUAGUGGCUUGACGGUACCGUAAGAAUAAGGAUCGGCUAACUCCGUGCCAGCAGCCGCGGUAAUAU
rnacentral:rRNA from 1 species